rnacentral:ribozyme from 1 species
AGUGACGGGACCGGCAGCAAUGCCGGUUUAAACAGCUAAAGCAGGUCCGAAGCCCUG